UGUAAAGUGCCUGAAUAAAGGAUAAUUUUGAUAGAAUUAAUAAUGCAUUUUAUGCCUUUACAA
rnacentral:tRNA from 2 species